rnacentral:lncRNA from 1 species
GAUCCAGCGUGGCUGUGGCAUAGGCCAGUGGUUGAAUCUCCAAUUUAACCCCUAGCCUGGGAACUUCCAUAUGCCCCAUGUGUGACCCUAAAAAGACAGAAAGAAAGAGAGAGAGGAAGAAAGAGGGAGAGAGAGAAAGUGGAAAUUGCUGGGCUAUAUUUUUAGUUAUUUGCGGUCAAAUAUAUUCCUAAUAGAUGCAAGGAUGCUCCAACCCUGAGGAGCAGAGAAAUCCUAGGAAACUUCUCGGCUGCAAAUAUAUCCUGCCCUCCCACAGUCUAUACAAUUACUUCCAACUUCCCAAAAUAUCAUAACAUCCUCCCCUAAAAAAAGUGGGUCCAGGGAAAUCACCUCGCUUUGCCCUGUUAGAGCUCAACUGGUAAGUGCGGAGGGUAGGGCCAGGUUAACAUCCAAAACAAUAAAACAAAAGUUCUGCUUCCGGAGUAAUCGGUGAUGACGGAAUGGUUAUGGAGGAGGGUGAGGUGAGAAGUUGAACUGUAACCAAUAACAUCUUGAAAAAUCCAAAUGCUUAUGUUCCUACUAAGAAAUCCCACUGUUACCAAAUUCUCCAUUAUUCUUUUGCUCUCAGGUCACCCCUUACUCCAGACCACGCCUGGGGAGUUCCCGUCGUGGUGCAGUGGAAAUGAAUCCGACUAGGAACCAUGAGGUUGUGGGUUCGGUCCCUGGCCUUGCUCAGUGGGUUAAGGAUCUGGCGUUGCCAUGAGCUGUGGUGUAGGUUGCAGACGCAACUCAGCUCUGGCGUAGGCUGGUGGCUAUAGCUCCGAUUAGACCCCUAGCCUGGGAACCUCCAUAUGCCAAGGGAGUAGCUCUAGAAAAGGGACAAAAAAAAGAGAGAGAAAGAGAGAGAAGGGACAGAAUCUUAUUUAUCUCUGUAGCCCCAGUGCCUCAUAUAGGACUGGCACGUUUGGGAGGCACAGAUUGAGUGGUACAAGGGACAGAAAGAGAGAUUAGGACAGCAUAUUUUAAAACCAGGAUCUUCAAGCUCUCCGGAAUACUGAAGAUGUAGAAGAAAGUCAUGUGACUAAGCAAUUGUGGGAAUUGAGAGAACUCAGUUCAAACACUGUCUCUUUCCUGCUAUACUUUAGCUGUGUGGCCUGGCUAAAUCACUCAUCUCUAUGCCUCAGUUUCCUCUUCUUUAUGACCCCCUCACAGGAUUGGCUGCCAUCAUCUAGCAAGUGAGCCAUCAGAGGAAGCAUUCCAGAAGUGAAAAGCAUUGUUGUUAAUAUUAUUAUUACUUUUGUGCCUAGAGAGCAUCAGCAUCACUUGGAGGGCUUGUUAAACACAGAUAUCACUGGGCCCCAGCCCAGAAUUUCUGACUCAGUAGGUUUGGGUUACUAGGGUCCAAGAAUUUGCAUCUCGAACAAGAUCCAAGUGAUGCUGAUGCAGCAAGAACCCCCAGCCUAACUUACUGCUUAGGAGGCCACAGGGCAGGCUGUGCUUAGCAGAAGGCAGUGAAGAGGAGCAAUGAAGUAAAGGAAGAAAGACAACAAAAGCUUGAAAAUUCUAGCUCAGAGCUUCCUCGCCUGUAUGUCAUGGCUGGAGAUGUGGGUGCCCAGAAAUUGAUCCCUCAUGCCUUAGCAGGAUCCUGAAGACAGCUGCCCAGGUUGUGCACACAGAAUAAGGGCAUCAUUCUGCUUCAAGGGAAAAAUGGGGCUGAAAUCCCCAGACGAGAUGCCUUUUCCUAAUAUACCUAUGGUCUAGUUCUUAAGGGGGUUUGGCCCGGUGGGGAAAACUGGGAUAUCUGAUCUAUCGCCGCUGGCCUUGAUCGAACUGUUUACCCCAGGCUACCACACCGGCAUGUUCAUUCUCUACAUAUGCUACGGCUUGAAAACAUUUGGGAAGCUUUACUCUAAAGUUUCACUGUCCACGUGAAAGACAAACAUGUUAUCAUAUCCCCUAUAUGUGGCAUCUUUAAAAAAAAAAAAAAGG